CACAUCUUACUGAUGCUGAAUUUACCGAUGCCGGAAAAAUUUUCAACUUUUUUCGAAAUGAAGCUUAACGCAGUCAUUCUUACUGGUACUAAGGAUAUAACCAAAGGGAGGAGCGCUAUGCGAACAAACUAUAAUUUGUCCGCGUUGCGUCACAAAUAGCCAUUUGUCGUCGACAAUCCUAAACAUUAGUUCCCCAUUUUUACAUAGACUCCAAGAGAAGCUAUGCCUGUUCUACAACAAUAGCGAGAGGAACAAUCGUGUCAAAACUGGCGCCCUACCAGGAGACAGACUGUCUCUGGAUAAAGUUUGUCAGCGUACGUUCGCACAUAUAAGGGGCUACAAUUUUACGUUCAAUAACGAAACGGGCCUUUCCGGACAUGGAUGUAAAAUCCCUUGUAUAAGCAACAAGGCCACUGUGGGGUAUAACACAUACUGGAGGAAUGGACACGCAAACGGACUGGACGGCUCCCGAUGUGACUCUGCGAACAAACUUAAGGUGUGCAUUCGAGGAGAGUGUAAACUGCACCGACGCUGCAAGGGCUGCUGGAAUCGUUCGGCACAGCCAAAAGCGCCUCCGACAACAAC